rnacentral:misc_RNA from 1 species
GUGAAUCAUCGAAUUUUUGAACGCAAAUUGCGCUUCCUGGCAUCCCGGGAAGUAUGCCUGUUUGAGGGUCAGUAUUAAUAAAAAAUCGGUUUAGUUACAAAUUGUGACGUUUCCGGAGUGUGGGCGAUGGUAACAUUUUGGGUUAAGAGGCUUAAAAUUGAGCUUUUGUGCGAAUUUUGAAACGUACAUAAAUUUUUUUUGUGUGACUAUUC